GAGUCAGGCAAACCAAGUUUUUCCUGGUGGGGAGGAAGAAUUACACGGAAGAAUAAUGUAAAUGGCAACGUAUCAAUUUAUUUAACUAAUUCAAGAUCUGGAAACGCAAUGGUUUUAUGCAUGACAAAAACCUUGAAAGACAGAGAACCACUAUUUGUUAAAACAAAGUGUGCUUAUCAUGGACAGUUUGUGUUUAUAGAGUUGGAGGCUGACAAAUAGGAUCCAAGUAUCGCGAUUUGCAAUGUUAAAAUAUUAGGAUGUAACAUUGGUGAGUUUGGUACAAACUGUGGUUUAAAUUGUUCAGAAAACUGCAUUGGGAAAUCAUGUGACAUCAUAGAUGGACGCUGUUUAAGUGGGAGGUGUAAGGAUGGGUGGCAAGGAAAUGACUGUUAUCAGAAAUGCCAUGAAGGUACAUAUGGUCCAAACUGUACCAAAUCUUAUGGGAACUGUAAAAAUGGCGCUGAAAAAUGUAACCACAAAACCGGUGUGUGUGAUAAUGGUUGCAUUGACGGUUACACUGGCGAGAGAUAUUACUCAGCGUGUCCAGAUGGUCUUUAUGGAAGCAACUGCACAGAAGAAUGCACAGGAACAUGCGUAAAUGGAACUAAUUGUAAUGUGACAACAGGUUAUUGUGAUGGAGGAUGUGCUCCGGGUUGGAGGAAUGCAGACUGUUCAAAAGUGUGUUUAAAUGGAUUCUAUGGACAACAAUGCUCACAAUUAUGCAACUUGUCCUGUGAUCCAUUCACUGGAAUGUACAAUGGACCUGAAGUCGAUGCGUAUAAUGGUAAAAGUCACAUCGUAAACACCAAUUUGAAAGUCUUUGGCUUGUUGACAGCACUGAUUGCUUCCCUUUAGAUUAACUUUGGGUUCUUCUUUGUAUAUUGUAAAAGAUCUAUGUUAAAGAGGAUCGAAAAAGCCUCAGGUGGAAUUCCAUCAAUUUAUGAAAACACAAUAUCGGAGGAGAAAGAAAAUAAAGGUUCUUGUCAGGAAAAGGAAUCAAAGGAGAUUGAACUAUUUUACGAAACAAUGGACCCGAGUUCUGAUGAACAAGAUAAACAUAAUUAUGAUUCCUUUUAAAAAGAAUUCUAGAAAUUAAAUGAAAAAAAAUGUUCGAAAAGUAUUAACUUGAUCACAAUACUGAGUUGAUACUGAAACCAUCUGAAAAUGCAAUUAUUGCACCGUGUAAAAUAGUUAUAAAUGUAUUGAACUUUCAAAACAUCUACGUUAAAAACAAUAGGUUUGAAAUUUCAUUGCAUUUUUAGACCUUAAAGAAAUCCAUU